rnacentral:rRNA from 1 species
AAUAUUGGACAAUGGGCGAAAGCCUGAUCCAGCCAUGCCGCGUGUGUGAAGAAGGUCUUCGGAUUGUAAAGAACUUUAAGUUGGGAGGAAGGGCAGUAAGUUAAUACCUUGCUGUUUUGACGUUACCGACAGAUAAAGACCCGGCUAACUUCGUGUCAGCAGCCGCGGUAAAACUAUGGGUGCAAGAGUAAAUCGGAAUUAUUGGUCGGAAGGAGCGGGUGGGUGGAUGGUUAAGUUGGAAGUAAAAGCACCGGGCUCAACCUGGGAACUGCUUUCAAAAAUGGCAGGCUAGAGUAUGGCAGAGGGUGGUGGAAUUUCCUGUGUAGCGGUGAAAUGCGUAGAUAUAGGAAGGAACACCAGUGGCGAAGGCGACCACCUGGGCUGAUACUGACACUGAGGUGCGAAAGCGUGGGGAGCAAAC